rnacentral:rRNA from 1 species
GAUGAACGCUGGCGGCGUGCCUAAUACAUGCAAGUCGAGCGGUAAGGCUCCUUCGGGAGUACACGAGCGGCGGACGGCUGAGUAACACGUAGGAACGUACCCCAAACUGAGGGAUAAGCACCAGAAAUGGUGUCUAAUACCGCAUGUGCUCUUCGGAGUAAAGCUUCGGCGGUUUGGGAACGGCCUGCGCAUGAUUAGCUUGUUGGUAAGGUAAUGGCUUACCAAGGCGACGAUCAUUAGCUGGUCUGAGAGGAUGAUCAGCCAGACUGGGACUGAGACACGGCCCAGACUCCUACGGGAGGCAGCAGUAGGGAAUUUCCACAAUGGGCGAAAGCCUGAUGGAGCAACGCCGCGUGCAGGGAUG